GCGCUGUGGAAAAGUCAGAAUUCAUACUGAAAUUGAAAAGACUAAGCAGCACAAGGUUCAUAGUAAUGAUGAUCAUUCUGUCCUAUCAACGAACUUGAGACUGAUUUCUUCCUCUUUAUUGAAAUGGGCCCUAUUCAUAAUACCAAACCAGCCACAGUGGCAAGCAUGAGAAGGAUACUACUCACACACUGGUCAGAACACAGGUCUCCUCCCAUUCUCCAAGGGAUCGGAAGGAAGCUGUGGCCAGGAGGAGUGAAGCACUCUUCGCCUACCUCCUCCUGUGACACUGAAACCAGUCUUACCUAGGAACUACCCUGAAGAUUCAAGGAAAUCAGCAGUUCAGUUUCAUUUUGUAUGGACAAACAUACACCAGGAAC